AUUAAACGCUGGCGGCAUGCCUUACACAUGCAAGUCGAACGGCAGCACGGCAGAGCUUGCUCUGUGGGUGGCGAGUGGCGGACGGGUGAGGAAUACAUGGGAAUCUGCCCAGUCGUGGGGGAUAACGUAGGGAAACUUACGCUAAUACCGCAUGCGCCCUUCGGGGGAAAGCCGGGGACCUUCGGGCCUGGCGCGAUUGGAUGAGCCCAUGUCGGAUUAGCUAGUUGGCGGGGUAAUGGCCCACCAAGGCGACGAUCCGUAGCUGGUCUGAGAGGAUGAUCAGCCACACUGGAACUGAGACACGGUCCAGACUCCUACGGGAGGCAGCAGUAGGGAAUAUUGGACAAUGGGCGCAAGCCUGAUCCAGCCAUGCCGCGUGAGUGAAGAAGGCCCUCGGGUUGUAAAGCACUUUCAGUGGGGAAGAACAGAUUCGGGUCAAUACCCCGGAGCCCUGACGUUACCCACAGAAGAAGCACCGGCUAACUCCGUGCCAG
rnacentral:rRNA from 1 species